UACGUAGGGUGCGAGCGUUGUCCGGAAUUACUGGGCGUAAAGAGCUCGUAGGUGGUUUGUUGCGUUGUCCGUGAAAACUCACAACUCAAUUGUGGGCGUGCGGGCGAUACGGGCAGACUGGAGUACUGCAGGGGAGACUGGAAUUCCUGGUGUAGCGGUGGAAUGCGCAGAUAUCAGGAGGAACACCGGUGGCGAAGGCGGGGUCUCUGGGCAUCUCCUGACGCUGAGGCGCGAAAGCGUGGGGAGCAAACGGG
rnacentral:rRNA from 1 species